rnacentral:rRNA from 1 species
GACGUAGGGCGCGAGCGUUGUCCGGAUUUAUUGGGCGUAAAGAGCUCGUAGGCGGCUUGUCGCGUCGACUGUGAAAUCCCGCGGCUCAACCGCGGGUCUGCAGUCGAUACGGGCAGGCUAGAGUUCGGUAGGGGAGACUGGAAUUCCUGGUGUAGCGGUGAAAUGCGCAGAUAUCAGGAGGAACACCGGUGGCGAAGGCGGUUCUCUGGGAAUGUUCUGACGCUGAGGAGCGAAAGUGUGGGGAGCGAACAGG